rnacentral:rRNA from 1 species
CCUACGGGAGGCUGCAGUAGGGAAUCUUCCACAAUGGGCGCAAGCCUGAUGGAGCAACACCGCGUGAGUGAAGAAGGGUUUCUGCUCGUAAAGCUCUGUUGUUGGAGAAGAACGUGCGUGAGAGUAACUGCUCCCGCAGUGACGGUAUCCAACCAGAAACUCCCGGCUAACUACGUGCCAGCAGCCGCGGUAAUACGUAGGUGGCAAGCGUUAUCCGGAUUUAUUGGGCGAAAAGCGGGCGCAGGCGGUUGCUUAGGUCUGAGAUGAAAGCCUUCGGCUUAACCGAAGAAGUGCAUCGGAAACGGGGCGACUUGGGGGGAGAAGAGGAAGUGGGAACUCUAGGUGUGGGGGGGGA